AGGACAACUACAGCUACCCGUGAAGACUGCGAAGUGCAUGCACUCUGGUGAAUGGUAAAACAUCAAGAAGAAUAUGCACCGCCCCAUACUGAGAACACCCUGUCUCUUUUCUAAGCUUUGGCUGUUGUCUCUGUUUCAACAAGAAAAGGGCCUUCGGACAGGUGUGGAAGGCUGACUGAUCAGAGGCCCUUAACCUUUCAUGCCUCGCCGCUGACCGCACUGCCCAGAUGGGUGGCCCUUUAAACCAGGCGACAGCAAUCAAGCUAAAACCUUCAGAGCCUCGCUCGCCCAUGGUACCAUGGUAACGUGUCCGAACAGAUUAAAACAAUAAUGUCAACUCGAAUAACAUAAUGAUCCGCAAUCAACCCACCAGGAAGCCAUUGAUUCUCUUGCAAGUGCUCAUCACCAUAACAACAGUAAUUCAUGCUCUCUAAAUUGUGAGUACAUUUAUCUGGCCCUGCCUGUGCUUUGAUAACAGGAUGAGCCUCUGUACCUUUCCAAAGCUCAGCUGUGUGCUGUGUCCUUAUUUCUGUCCUUCUUGACUAUUGGCCGUACAGAAGCGUUGAGAAGUGUGGUCCUGAAUCGCAAAUUUCUUAUCGCAUGGACAAAAUCAUCACGUCAGACAAAAGUUAUUACUUAAUAUAAAAUCGUUCUGGGAAGUGUAAUUGUAAUAGAUGUGAGAAUGGAAUUGUAAUGUACUCACUUCCAUAUAGAAGAACAAAAUAUUUGAUGAACAUUGAUCUGCAUUUCAACAUAGUUAUACUCUCAUGUUUGCCCAUGCUUUAUAGACACAAACAUUAUUUGAUAUUGAAAAUAUCAAUAUGAGCAUCAAAAGUAAGUCCAAUGUGGUAACAGACACUCUGGUUGUACUCUUAGUUAUUAUUAACUCCUUUCGGAUCCAGAACAUCUGGAUAUGAACACAUAACCCUUUGAUUACAGAGAACACAAUGAAUAUUAGACGAAUAUUAUAAUGGGUGAAUAUAAUUCAUAAAUGUAUAACUGGCAUCAAAAACGUAUUUAAUAUACAGGACAGAGCAUUUGGGCAAGAUGGGACAUUAAUACACUUUAUCCAAAGUGGUUUCCAUUUAUUAUUUGUUUAUGUUUGUCAGCUCAGUCAAAUCUCCAUGAAAAAGGGAACGAGAAAUGGCAACAAAUGAUGGAUACCAUUGUCUUUACACCCAUUGAGUUUCCCUGCUUCUAAGUGCAGUCUGCAUUGGUGUGAA